CCUACGGGCGGCAGCAGUGGGGAAUAUUGCACAAUGGGCGCAAGCCUGAUGCAGCCAUGCCGCGUGUGUGAAGAAGGCCUUCGGGUUGUAAAGCACUUUCAGCGGGGAGGAAGGCGUUAAGGUUAAUAACCUUGGCGAUUGACGUUACCCGCAGAAGAAGCACCGGCUAACUCCGUGCCAGCAGCCGCGGUAAUACGGCGGGUGCAAGCGUUAAUCGGAAUUACUGGGCGUAAAGCGCACGCAGGCGGUCUGUCAAGUCGGAUGUGAAAUCCCCGGGCUCAACCUGGGAACUGCAUUCGAAACUGGCAGGCUAGAGUCUUGUAGAGGGGGGUAGAAUUCCAGGUGUAGCGGUGAAAUGCGUAGAGAUCUGGAGGAAUACCGGUGGCGAAGGCGGCCCCCUGGACAAAGACUGACGCUCAGGUGCGACAGCGUGGGGAGCAAACAGGAUUAGAUACCCUAGUAGUC
rnacentral:rRNA from 1 species